rnacentral:tRNA from 1 species
GGGCGCGUAGCUCAGCGGUAGAGCAUCGCCUUGACAUGGCGUGGGCCACAGGUUCGAUCCCUGUCGCGCCCA